CUACGGACUUUUAUUGAUUGUAUUGAGCCUUGGUAUGGAAACCUGCUAAGUGAUAACUUCCAAAUUCAGAGAAACCCUGGAAUGAAAAAUGGGCGAUCCUGAGCCAAAUCCCUUUUUUGAAAAAAAAAAAAAGUGGUUCUCAAACUAGAACCCAAAGGAAAAGGAAGAUUUG
rnacentral:ribozyme from 1 species